AUUGAACGCUGGCGGCAGGCUUAACACAUGCAAGUCGAGCGAGCGGAGGACGGGUGAGUAAUGUCUGGGAAACUGCCUGAUGGAGGGGGAAAACUACUGGAAACGGUAGCUAAUACCGCAAACCAUCGGAUGUGCCCAGAUGGGAUUAGCUAGUAGGUGGGGUAAAGGCGCACCUAGGCGACGAUCCCGAGCUGGUCUGAGAGGAUGACCGGCCACACUGGAACGGAGGCACGGUCCAGACUCCUACGGGAGGCAGCAGUGGUGAAUAUUGCACAAUUGGCGCAAGCCUGAUGCGGCCAUGCCGCGUGUAUGAAGAAGGCCUUCGGGUUGUAAAGUACUUUCAGCGUGGAGGCGUUACCCGCAGAAGAAGCACCGGCUAACUCCGUGCCAGCAGCCGCGGUAAUUC
rnacentral:rRNA from 1 species